GACGAACGCUGGCGGCGUGCCUAAAACAUGCAAGUCGAACGAGGUAGCAAUACCUAGUGGCGAACGGCGGAGUAAUACAUGAACAACGUGCCCUAAAGCCCGGGACAAACGCAGAAAUGCCAUAAAUACCGGAUGUGGUCCAGACCUGGCAUCAGGAUUGGAUUAAAUGGUUUUUCGCUUUAGGAGCGGUUCAUGGCCUAUCAGGUAGUUGGUGGGGUAAGUGGCCUACCAAGCCGACGACAGGUAGCGGGUCUGAGAGGAUGAUCCGCUCGAGUGGGACUGAGACACGGCCCACACACCUACGGGUGGCAGCAGUUGGGAAUCUUGCACAAUGGGGGAAACCCUGAUGCAGCGACGCCGCGUGAAGGAUGAAGGCCUUC
rnacentral:rRNA from 1 species